rnacentral:lncRNA from 1 species
CUCAGCCUCUGCCUUCUCAUUAGCAGCCAACCUCAUCCGAGCAGCUGCAAAGUUGAAGACAGUUAAGACAUAAAAUAGCAAGACAAAUUGGAUAAGAAUGCCAGUCUUUGGUCAACCAAAAUCAUUAAACAGGUAAAGAGAACAGAUUCUAGUCCUUGAAGAGCUUGGUAGAUCAGUCUUUGGUCAACCAAAAAUCAUUAAACAGGUAAAGAGAAUAGAUUCUAGUCCUUGAAGAGCUUGGCAGACAUAGAUUGCACUACAACUCCUAAAGCGGCCAUGUAACUGUGUCUAGAAUUUCUUUUACAUAAAUAAUUCACAUUUUCUACAUUUCCAGUAACUCUCUCUCCAUCCCCAACGUUCACUUCCACCUACCCCUCCCCCCUCCCCAGCUC